GAUGAACGCUGGCGGCGUGCCUAAUACAUGCAAGUCGAGCGAAUGGAUUGAGAGCUUGCUCUCGAGAAGUUAGCGGCGGACGGGUGAGUAACACGUGGGUAACCUGCCCAUAAGACUGGGAUAACUCCGGGAAACCGGGGCUAAUACCGGAUAACAUUUUGAACCGCAUGGUUCGAAAUUGAAAGGCGGCUUCGGCUGUCACUUAUGGAUGGACCCGCGUCGCAUUAGCUAGUUGGUGAGGUAACGGCUCACCAAGGCAACGAUGCGUAGCCGACCUGGGAGGGUGAUCGGCCACACUGGGACUGAGACACGGCCCAGACUCCUACGGGAGGCAGCAGUAGGGAAUCUUCCGCAAUGGACGAAAGUCUGACGGAGCAACGCCGCGUGAGUGAUGAAGGCUUUCGGGUCGUAAAACUCUGUUGUUAGGGAAGAACAAGUGCUAGUUGAAUAAGCUGGCACCUUGACGGUACCUAACCAGAAAGCCACGGCUAACUACGUGCCAGCCGCCGCAGUAAAAC
rnacentral:rRNA from 1 species